CAAACCGACACAGGUGGGCUGGUAGAGAAUACCAAGGCGCUUGAGAGAACUCAGGAGAAGGAACUCGGCAAAUUGAUACCGUAACUUCGGGAGAAGGUAUGCCCCUGGUACGUGAAGGCCCUCGCGGCCGGAGCGGAACGGGGUCGCAGAGAAUCGGUGGCUGCGACUGUUUAUUAAAAACACAGCACUCUGCAAACACGAAAGUGGACGUAUAGGGUGUGACGCCUGCCCGGUGCCGGAAGGUUAAGUGAUGGGGUGCAAGCUCUUGAUCGAAGCCCCGGUAAACGGCGGCCGUAACGAUAACGGUCCUAAGGUAGCGAAAUUCCUUGUCGGGUAAGUUCCGACCUGCACGAAUGGCGUAACGAUGGCCACACUGUCUCCUCCUGAGACUCAGCGAAGUUGAAAUGUUUGUGAAGAUGCAAUCUCCCCGCGGC
rnacentral:rRNA from 1 species